UACGUAGGGGGCAAGCGUUAUCCGGAUUUACUGGGUGUAAAGGGAGCGUAGACGGAUGGACAAGUCUGAUGUGAAAGGCUGGGGCUCAACCCCGGGACUGCAUUGGAAACUGCCCGUCUUGAGUGCCGGAGAGGUAAGCGGAAUUCCUAGUGUAGCGGUGAAAUGCGUAGAUAUUAGGAGGAACACCAGUGGCGAAGGCGGCUUACUGGACGGUAACUGACGUUGAGGCUCGAAAGCGUGGGGAGCAAACAGG
rnacentral:rRNA from 3 species